GACAUUUUAAAUAGUAAAUAUAAUAAUUUUUAAAAAGAAACAAUAUAAAAAAUAGUUAAAAGGAACAUUAUAGCGUUAUAUCUCGAAUUGUAUCCUAUCAUCUAUGCAUUAUAAGAUAUACCAGACGAACGUCGAAAAUGAGAACACACUCCCAAAAUUGUUUAGUCGUACGAAAACAAAUGGAAGGGCCUCAUUAUUUCGGAUACUUCUAGCCCAAUAAUCAAAUGAGGCCUGACCCUGUUUAGGAUUUUGGGCUUUGGCCCAAACGCUGCAUACCACCAUUCUCAUAGUCUCGGAAGUCACUAGCUGUCAACGUGCGAAUUUUCUAUCCACUUCUCCCGAGUGGUCUAUGUCCACGUGGCAAUCUGCUAGACCUCCACCUGGUUAAUCCAAACACCACAUUUCAAUCUAAGGCUAACAACGAAAUACCACAAUUCUAAAAUUAGAUAGACCCACGUCUCAAAGCCACACGAUUUUCCUCCUGUCCCACUCGCACACGUGCUGCACUUCCCACACGUGUGUCGUUUUCAUAAAAAGGCUACACCUCACCCAUAUCUUCAAAUCAGAAAUCAGAAAAAAGAAAAAAAGAGAAUAAAAGAAAAAAAAUAUGGGGUGUUCUUCUUCAAAGCGAAUCGAGGCCACAGUGGAUGUCUACCGUCCGGCGCCGGCGAGUUUCGCUGUAUUCGACAUCAACACCAUCGAAGAGCCGUGGCUCAAGGUGGACCAUGCGCCGGAGCACCACCAAGAAAAGCCC
rnacentral:lncRNA from 1 species